UACGUAGGGUGCAAGCGUUAUCCGGAAUUAUUGGGCGUAAAGAGCUCGUAGGCGGUUUGUCGCGUCUGCUGUGAAAACCUGAGGCUCAACCUCGGGCUUGCAGUGGGUACGGGCAGACUAGAGUGCGGUAGGGGUGACUGGAAUUCCUGGUGUAGCGGUGGAAUGCGUAGAUAUCAUUUGGAACGCCAAUGGUGAAAACAGCUCGCUGGGAAUGAUCUGACCGCUGAGACGGCGAAAGCCAGGGGAGCGAACGGG
rnacentral:rRNA from 1 species